UCUAAAUAUUUAAACAUGUACAAGUAGAAGUAGACCAAAGUCUCGGGACCUCCUUUAUUUUUCAACAAUUUAGGUGCCAUUUUUGUUAGAAAUAUAUGAAUAUAUUUCUAUUAGAAAUGCAAGAGCAAUUAUUUAUGAAAUUAGAUUAAACUGGACACGACGCAAGAUAAUGCUACCACUUAUCUCAACGCCAUAACCAGAAGUUUUGUUCCAUAUUAUUAAGAGUCACAGUUCUCAUGCAAUAUGGGGAGAAAGAAAGAUCUUUCUGAAGAUGAAAAGCAUGAACAUGUCUUGCAAAAGGUAUGAAAACAACCAAUAACUCGGUACACUCAACUGUUUGAAAUCGGCAAACUUCCACCAUAUCGGCUCGAUUCACUGUUUCAAUAACGUCGGUGUGUAGCAUGACAGAUUGUCCUUCUAUCACUGAUACUCACGUAAUUUUAUCUUUCUUCACAAACACAUCUGGAUGUUAAACUUGUGUAGUGCUAGUUAUGGUUUCAUCCAUAUAUUUUGUGGCAAUUUUGGGACAUUGCUUAAAAAAAACUGGAUGGAAAUGGCAAGAUGCGGAUAGAAGACAUAUGAGGCUGAUCAGUUUUUAAUCAAUAAGAAUACAAACGAAUUAACUACAAUUGAAAUACAUUUAACAAAUAAAUUCCUUGAUGUGCAACACAAAAAACUCACAUGCCUCAACAGAGGAUGUGAUUGGAUAGCGGCUUAUAACUGUUGUAGUUUGGACUUCAUAGGCCAAACUCAAGUCCUAAAAUUCUUUUGAUAAGUUUUUGCAUAUCAAAUUUCAUUCCAUGUGAACCGACUGCCUAGGAGGAGAUAAAGAAAUAGGUCUUUGAUUAAAAAUUCAAAUGGUCGAAAAAUGUCACAGACAGAGGAAGCGAUUCUUGUGAUUCUAAACAUUACUCCUAUUCAGAAUGCAUGAGAAAACAGUCCAACAAUCCUGCAGUCUCUGCCUAUAUGGGACUCUCAAAACUCCAGAAAAGCCGUCUUACCGUCGGUAAAUGUUGUAACCCAUAUGUGAGGGUUUUACUCAACAAAAUCAAGCAGCUGCUUCUUAUCAUUCGAAAUUCAUGCCCGGGCAGAUCCAAGUAGACUGCCCGUAUGUAACUUCUUCUUUCCAUUAUGUUAUGUGCACAUCGUGGACACACUUAGACAAAACAAGAAGUAGACCUUGGACACACUGAUACACAUGAAAUCAAGACGUGCAUAUAUACAUUUACUCACGCACAUCUCAUACUUGUUACUAUAUUUCUUAAGGUGAGACAGGGGACAGGGUAAAAAAAAUAACUAACAGUUAUAAAAUAACACCAUACUUCCCCAGUGGAUUGAUUACAAUAAGAACUGCAAAAAUUUUUGCAUUACAAGUUUUCUCAAAUGUUAUGUUUAAAUAUGCAAAUGAUGCAUUAUUUACUUAAAAAUGCACAUUUCUAGUAAAAAAAUCUCAACAUUGGAUGAAGUCAGGUGCAUAUGCAUUUUGAACAUAUUAGGGUCACAGGUUUUUACAGAGGGGAUUUUGAGUAUCGCUUUUUAUCACUUUUUAUCACUCCAUAAUUCAGAAAAUCACAGUUUUUCUUUGAAAUAAAAUGUUGUAUAUAAUCUGGCAAAUUAAAUAUGAACAAAUCCUUCUGUGAAAACCUUCAGAAUAUAGAUAGGAAUAAAACUGUAAAGUUUGUUGUGUGUAAGUGCUUCUGAUAUAUGGCUGUGUAUAGGAGAAAAAACUCAUUUUGAGAAAACAGCCUUUAAAAAUAUGUAUUUUAAGUGCCAAAAAAUAAAUGAAAACAAAGGUGGAUUUUGGAUGUUUUCUUACCACUGGUCUGAAACAACAACAACAACAACACUUUACUAAAAGCCCAAAAUCUCAAAAUUGAAAAAACAGCAUUUUAGCCUGUAUGCCUCGCCUUCAUAUGCCAAAUAUGGUGAGGUUUGACAUCUGAGUACUACGAUUGGAAGCCCAGGACAUCCUGGAUGUUAUUUCCUGAUCAUGCGUGUAUAAAUAUGACCCAUCUUCAUGAAUAAACUUGAGAAUGUUAUAGUAUUACACUGCCUCUGUGUCUGCCUGAUCAAUCUCCCGAGAUCUCGAGCUGCUGCUGCCACACAUCACAGGAGCAUUGAGGCUUUCAAUAGUCUACCUAAAAAUUAAUCUAACAGUAGCCAUUUCAGCCGAUCUGUGAACGUGAGUGAAUAUCAUCAGGCCAAACAUUCAAGGACAGAAAGAAUGGAACAUCUACACACCUUUCUCAUUUUGCUCUUCCUCUUCUGUUCACCGUGGCUAAGUGCUGGAACAACCUUCUUGACCCAUCUUGGAACACCAUGUAUAGAAGACUGCAAGCUAGACGGUGGUGAGUACAAGUGCAAGACUAUUGAUGGAGAUGGAAGGAGCCAAACUUUGUACUGUUCACCUCAGGAAAACAUGGACUACUGGGGUAGGCAGUGCGGAGCUGACAGUAUGUGUGGAGAGCAUGGAGAAGACUACUACUGGUGCAGAAUUAAUGUCUUUACUUGGGGAUACUGUGGGCUGGUGAAGGACGACAAGAAGAUCAUUGAAUCUGGAGAAGUCAGUCACAUCACCUCUCAACAUCGCAACAAGAGACAGACGGAGUUUUACUCUGUGCGUGACCAGAAUAACCGUAUAAUAACCUUUUUUGAGGAGCCAGCUAACAUCUUAAACGGCAGACAGUGGAGAAACGAUGCGGAAAACUUAAUCAAUCGAUGGAACAAUGGAUACCUGAGGAAUCGGGCAACAUCUAAUCUGAUCAGAUCUGACGAUCUACGUAUUGACUUGCAGGGCACCUUCCCACGCAACAAUCGGCUCUACUACAACCUGCAGAUCCAGAGAAAUGUGAGACGGUCGUCUCGUGAAAGCACCACUAUUUCUCAGAUCAUUGUGGCUGAUGGAGUUUCAGAAGACCACAUCCGCAGAGCCUUCCGGGAGAGCUUAAAUCGCAGAGCUCGGGUUCGUGUUGAAGUUAGGGUUGCAAAAUAGUUAGAGCUAUUCAUAAUAAGAAAACAGUAAUUUAAACAAUAACGAUCACACUUUCUUAACAAGUAAAAAAAUACAAGUAAGCUUAUAUAUUACAGUAGUAUAUUACUGUAGCCUACAUUACAACUAUUGUUUAAAAUGAAUCUCUUGCCAUUCUGUUAUGCUUUGAUUCUUCUUUUACUCCUCUCUCAAUAAAUGACUGAUUUCAUGCAAACUAAGCAACAAA